rnacentral:rRNA from 1 species
GCUGUCGCUAAAGGAUGGACCUGCGAUGCAUUAGCUAGUUGUAGGGUAACGGCCUACCAAGGCGAUGAUGCAUAGCCCGAGUUGAGAGACUGAUCGGCCACAUUGGGACUGAGACACGGCCCAAACUCCUACGGGAGGCAGCAGUAGGGAAUCUUCCACAAUGGACGAAAGUCUGAUGGAGCAACGCCGCGUGAGUGAAGAAGGUUUUCGGAUCGUAAAGCUCUGUUGUUGGUGAAGAAGGAUAGAGGUAGUAACUGGCCUUUAUUUGACGGUAAUCAACCAGAAAGUCACGGCUAACUACGUGCCAGCAGCCGCGGUAAU